AUUGAACGCUGGCGGCAUGCCUUACACAUGCAAGUCGAACGGCAGCAUGGGCGCUUGCACCUGAUGGCGAGUGGCGAACGGGUGAGUAAUGCAUCGGAACGUGCCCUGAAGUGGGGGAUAACGUAGCGAAAGUUACGCUAAUACCGCAUAUUCUGUGAGCAGGAAAGAGGGGGAUCGCAAGACCUCUUGCUUUAGGAGCGGCCGAUGUCGGAUUAGCUAGUUGGUGAGGUAAAGGCUCACCAAGGCGACGAUCCGUAGCGGGUCUGAGAGGAUGCUCCGCCACACUGGGACGGAGACACGGCCCAGACUCCUACGGGAGGCAGCAGUGGGGAAUGUUGGACAAUGGGCGCAAGCCUGAUCCAGCCAUGCCGCGUGAGUGAAGAAGGCCUUCGGGUUGUAAAGCUCUUUCGGCGGGGAAGAAAUGGUUUCGGUUAAUACCUGGAGCUGAUGACGGUACCCGCAUAAGAAGCACCGGCUAACUACGUGCCAGCAGCCGCGGUAACAC
rnacentral:rRNA from 1 species